rnacentral:rRNA from 1 species
GUCCUUUUGAAUUUUAUUUAAGGUUUAACCUGCCCACUGAUUUAUAUUUGAAGGGCCGCAGUAAUUUGACUGUGCAAAGGUAGCAUAAUCAUUAGUUUUUUAAUUAAAAGCUUGUAUGAAGGGUUGGACGAGGUAAAUUCUGUCUCUAUUUAAUUUAUUAUAGAAUUUAAUUUUUAAGUUAAAAAGCUUAAAUAGAAUUAAAAGACGAGAAGACCCUAUAGAUCUUUAUAUUAUUUUUAUUAAUCUUAAUUAAGAUUAUUUAAUUUUUUAAUAAUAAUAAUAUUUUAUUGGGGUAAUAAAAAGAUUUAAUUAAUUCUUUUUUUAUUUUUACAUUAAUAAAUGAAUAUUUGAUCCAAUAUUAUUGAUUAUAAGAUUAAGUUACCUUAGGGAUAACAGCGUAAUAUUUUUAGAGAGUUCAUAUCGAUAAAAAAGUUUGCGACCUCGAUGUUGGAUUAAAAGUUAUUUUAGGUGCAGAAGCUUAAAAUUUUGGUCUGUUCGACCAUUAAAUUUUU